UAGUGGCAGGCUCCUGGCUACCCCAUAUUAGUGGCAGGGGGGGCUGUUUACGACCCCCCUUGAUAUCUCGAGAUCUAACCGGCCGAUUUUCAAAAUUCAAACGGCAUUCGAUUUGGCUCAACGAGAUCUACAUUUCUAAAAAAAAAAAAAUGUCAAUAGGGGGGUAGAGGGGGGUAAAAACGGGCAAAUUGCAGAUACAUUUUAGACUGUUUAUCACGGCCAGGUUUCUGAACCAGUCUUAACGCAACUUUUGCCGAUCGAUAGAGAAUGAACCAGGAAUUCACAUGGAUCCUAAAAAUAUGCAUUUUCAAAAAUCAUAGGCGGAUACAGAUUAUUGAGAUUGGGGGUACACAAAAAGUAUAGUAAAUAAGGUUUUUGUUGGUACUGUUUCUAAAAAGGGUGGCAAUGGUCUUGUUAUGUUACAAUUUUCUUAUGAGAGAACGACUAAAAUUGUAUUGGUCAUGCAUAGGCGGUGUCAGGGCACCUAUGUUGGGAGGUAAAAAAUAACCCCCCUUUUUGGACGCCUGGAUCCGCCUAUUAUAGCAAAAACGUGUCAAAAGAGGAUGAACAAUAACUUUGUAUAUGUUAUCACAUGAUACCUUUCAUUCACUGUUCGUAAAACUGGUGCAGCAUCGUGAUCUUCGCCCAAAUGACUCGCUUCACGAAUAGGACCCCCAAUUCCCAGUGCUCUGGAGCCGCCCCUGGUAAAGUUAUGAACUUGAAAUUUUCAGGGAAUGUGCCCAAUUUAGUUUUAGGAAAAGUCAGAAAAUUUCAGCAUCGUAGCUUCAGCGGUUUCGGAGAUAUUCUCGAAAAACCUGAGGGGUGGAUAAAAACAACCCCCCCCCCUGCCACUAAUAGGGUUAAAGCUAGUAUGCCCCAUGCACUGUCGUUUUUUCCGCUUGCUGUCGGUUUUCCAAUAUAUGGAAGCCAGUUACAGGCGUCUCUUAGUCUCUCAUUGGUCAACCGCACACACCACGUGUGGUUCAUCAAUGACCAAUGAGAAGAUGAGAAACGCCAGCACACUGACAGCAUGCUGAUUUGGUGAUCCAACAGCGCCCUGACCACACCCCCUCCCAUCUAUCGCUGACACCCUGCUCGGUAACUCGUUUCGAGACGCGACUGAGCCAGGCCCUUCGACCGGUUACCGCCGCCGGCAUAAUGCCGCCUGAUUCCGACUGCACUGCUGGACACCACUGUGGCGAGCGACCCCGCUGUCAGACUCGGGGCGAACGCACCCCCUCCCCUACCCCCACUCAAGCUCUGGCGAGGGUGAGGGUAUUCACCGCAUCAAACCUACAGGCCGCCUGGACCCUUAUCUUGAGACCAAUAGUACGUAAAACCUGAAACAAACAAUAGUAUCAACAAAAAAUAAUACACAUGGACACACGAACAACACAAAAACCAAUCAUUUCAAAGCAAUGCAUAGAUUAAUCAAUUAUCAAUGGACAAUAAUCUUACUUUUGUGGGAUCUGAAUGUAUCACAAUCGUGUGUCAUCAAUGGCCACGCUUCACCGCGUGCCACGCCCUGUUCAAGGUUCUAUUAAUUAAUUGGAGGCGGCAAAUUGGGGAAAAGGAAACAUCGCUGCCCAAUGACCUCUGGGCGGCGGUUACAAUGUUUUUAAUCCAAUACCAGUAAGCACGCUAUCUAGGCGCAUCGACCCCAGUCUCAGACCGGACCCGAAUGCCGAACCCCAACCGGACUGGACCUGACUUGAACUGGCCCUGUGGAGACCGGACCCGUCCCCUCCAGACGGAUUGUCGGCCGGCUGGUGUCGCUGAUUGGCCUGUGUCAUGUUGUGUCGCAGACUGGUGGUUACCUGUCGGAAACUGGAGUGGCUGAUUUUUCAUGCAACGGAGGAGCUCAGUCAGUCGGUCCUGGACGCCCUGGUCCGGGCAGACCUGGGGAAAAGAGAUGACGGCAAGCCGAGAGCACUGAGGUUCAGGGUCCAAGCCACCGUCUAUGAGAAGCUGAGAAGGCAGCCAACCACCAGCAGCCUCAAAGUGGUGAAGGGUACCUAGAAGUAUCAUACGAAAAUACCACGCCGACUCAGAAUGCGCCUACAGCAGUCAUCCUCAGCUUGUUCACCCUCGCAUGACAAGGCUCCGAGGUGACGGACAAAUGGGACGACAGUCUGCCGGGCUUCAUCUCCAGCUGGGAGCUGGUGAAGCUGUGUUCCUUCAGCACCAGCGUGCACCGGGUGAACACGGUGGGGUCGAACACCAUUAUUCCAUUCAAAACUACGCUGGCUUAUCACAUAAUACGUGUUCGAAAAAGUCCAUGGACAUUUCGUGUAUGAUUUAUAUACAGGUAGAAGGACAAAAUGUGAAUAUAAUGGCGUGAUACAUUACAAGUGAGGCGUGAAAUAUGGACCAGGAACUUGUGUGUGUGGCUCCACAGUGCGCCAUACCAUUGAACCUAAGACAUUGGUUUAUCUGUGGAUUCUGAAGCGAGCGGAUGACGCACUGUGCGGUGUUUACUUUCUUUCUAAUGAAUUGUGUGAAAUAUCAUUGGUGGAGAUUGCACAUUGCAUAUGUUGUGAGGUCCUACGUGCGCGCUGCUUUGUAGAAGCUCAUCAGCGAACUUAUACUACUGCGUUGGAAACAAGUUUUAUGUAGGUUUAGAUGUCCACCUAUGUACAUAUUAAACGAUAAAUUCACAGCUAUGUAGCUUUUAUAAUAUUUUGUACACAUGCGGAGAUCAAAAAGGUUGUGCACCGGAUUGUGUCUGAAUUAUCUGUGACAAAUCAUUGAUGAGCUUUGCUUGUGCCGCGCGGCUGUGCUGGUUUGCGUAUAUUCUUUCCCGUUAUUCCGUUUGCCUAAUGCAACUCCAAUCGAUGUUAUGGGUAGCUUAGCAGCCAGUUGCAACUAGCUAAUGUCCUUGGAGUUUUUGUUUACGUGUUUAUAUGCCAUGUUAUGUUCUUGUGUAUGAUCACCAAACGUGCCUGCUUUAUAUCUGUAAUACAGUAACGGCAGUGACAAUA